rnacentral:rRNA from 1 species
UACGAAGGGGGCUAGCGUUGUUCGGAUUUACUGGGCGUAAAGCGCACGUAGGCGGAUCGUUAAGUCGGGGGUGAAAUCCUGGAGCUCAACUCCAGAACUGCCUUCGAUACUGGCGAUCUAGAGUCCGGAAGAGGUGAGUGGAACUCCUAGUGUAGAGGUGGAAUUCGUAGAUAUUAGGAAGAACACCAGUGGCGAAGGCGGCUCACUGGUCCGAUACUGACGCUGAGGCACGAAAGCGUGGGGAGCAAACAGG